rnacentral:rRNA from 1 species
AUACGUAGGGGGCGAGCGUUGUCCGGAAUGAUUGGGCGUAAAGGGCGCGUAGGCGGCCCGGUAAGUCUGGAGUGAAAGUCCUGUUUUUAAGAUGGGAAUUGCUUUGGAUACUGUCGGGCUUGAGUGCAGGAGAGGUAAGUGGAAUUCCCAGUGUAGCGGUGAAAUGCGUAGAGAUUGGGAGGAACACCAGUGGCGAAGGCGACUUACUGGACUGUAACUGACGCUGAGGCGCGAAAGUGUGGGGAGCAAACAGGAUUAGAUACCCUCGUAGUCCACACUGUAAACGAUGAAUGCUAGGUGUAGGGGGUAUCGACCCCUUCUGUGCCGCAGUCAACACAAUAAGCAUUCCGCCUGGGGAGUACGGCCGCAAGGUUGAAACUCAAAGGAAUUGACGGGG